UGGGGGAUAUUGCGCAAUGGGGGAAACCCUGACGCAGCAACGCCGCGUGAAGGAUGAAGGUCUUCGGAUUGUAAACUUCUUUUAUUAAGGACGAAGAAUGACGGUACUUAAUGAAUAAGCUCCGGCUAACUACGUGCCAGCAGCCGCGGUAAUACGUAGGGAGCAAGCGUUGUCCGGAUUUACUGGGUGUAAAGGGUGCGUAGGCGGCAAAGCAAGUCAGAUGUGAAAUGUAUGGGCUCAACCCAUGAACUGCAUUUGAAACUGCAUUGCUUGAGUGAAGUAGAGGCAGGCGGAAUUCCCUGUGUAGCGGUGAAAUGCGUAGAGAUAGGGAGGAACACCAGUGGCGAAGGCGGCCUGCUGGGCUUUAACUGACGCUGAGGCACGAAAGCGUGGGUAGCAAACAGG
rnacentral:rRNA from 1 species